rnacentral:rRNA from 1 species
GACGAACGCUGGCGGCGUGCCUAACACAUGCAAGUCGAACGGAGCUGUACGAGGUGCUUGCACCAUGUACAGCUUAGUGGCGGACGGGUGAGUAACGCGUGAGCAACCUGCCUUUCAGGAGGGGGAUAACAACGGGAAACCGUUGCUAAUACCGCAUAAUACCAGAGGGUGGCAUCAUUUUUCUGGUCAAAGGAGCAAUCCGCUGAAAGAUGGGCUCGCGUCCCAUUAGGUAGUUGGUGGGGUAAUGGCCUACCAAGCCCGCGAUGGGUAGCCGGACUGAGAGGUUGAACGGCCACAUUGGAACUGAGAUACGGGUCCAAACUCCUACGGGAGGCAGCAGGUGGGGAAUAUUGGGCAAGUGGGGGAAACCCUGGACCCAGCAACGCCGCGUGAAGGAAGAAGGUCUU